GGGGAGUACGGCCGCAAGGUUAAAACUCAAAUGAAUUGACGGGGGCCCGCACAAGCGGUGGAGCAUGUGGUUUAAUUCGAUGCAACGCGAAGAACCUUACCUGGUCUUGACAUAUCUAGAAUCCUGCAGAGAUGCGGGAGUGCCUUCGGGAAUUAGAAUACAGGUGCUGCAUGGCUGUCGUCAGCUCGUGUCGUGAGAUGUUGGGUUAAGUCCCGCAACGAGCGCAACCCUUGUCCUUAGUUACCAGCGGGUUAAGCCGGGAACUCUAAGGAUACUGCCAGUGACAAACUGGAGGAAGGCGGGGACGACGUCAAGUCAUCAUGGCCCUUACGACCAGGGCUACACACGUGCUACAAUGGUAGGUACAGAGGGCAGCUACACAGCGAUGUGAUGCGAAUCUCAAAAAGCCUAUCGUAGUCCAGAUUGGAGUCUGCAACUCGACUCCAUGAAGUAGGAAUCGCUAGUAAUCGCGGAUCAGAAUGCCGCG
rnacentral:rRNA from 1 species